rnacentral:tmRNA from 2 species
GGGGGCGACCUGGUUUCGACGGGACUUUCCGCGGACUUGGUAGCGCGUAGAGGGCGCCGUUGGCCUCUUUAAAAAACGGCACCGCCAAUAACUGGCAACAGCAACAGCUACGCACUCGCUGCUUAAUCGCAGCGGCCGUUCGCCCGAAGCCCAGCCGAUGGCUCGCGGGUAGAACGUCCCAAAGUCGGCUAGCCGAAAGCCUCUAGCGCCGGGCUGAGGCGAAAGCAAAGGCGCGUAAGCGCGACCUAGGAGCGGGUCACCGAGCUCGGGUCGCGCCGACAACCGAGCGGUGACUACACGCGUAGAAGCCAGUCUCAGGGGGUUUCGGACGCGGGUUCGACUCCCGCCGCCUCCACCA